CGGCGGACGGGUGAGUAACGCGUGGGUAACCUGCCUCAUACAGGGGGAUAACAGUUAGAAAUGACUGCUAAUACCGCAUAAGACUACAGCACCGCAUGGUGCGGGGGUAAAAACUCCGGUGGUAUGAGAUGGACCCGCGUCUGAUUAGCUAGUUGGUAAGGUAACGGCUUACCAAGGCGACGAUCAGUAGCCGACCUGAGAGGGUGACCGGCCACAUUGGGACUGAGACACGGCCCAA
rnacentral:rRNA from 1 species